rnacentral:rRNA from 1 species
GACGAACCGUGCGAACGUUAUUCGGAAUCACUGGGCUUAAAGGGCGCGUAGGCGGGCCGACGAGCCAGGGGUGAAAUCCUCCAGCUUAACUGGAGAACAGCCUUUGGGACCGGCGGCCUCGAGGGGUGCAGGGGCAUGCGGAACUCAGGGUGGAGCGGUGAAAUGCGUAGAGAUCCUGAGGAACACCGGUGGCGAAAGCGGCGUGCUGGACACCUACUGACGCUGAGGCGCGAAAGCCAGGGGAGCGAACGGG